rnacentral:tRNA from 1 species
GCCCGGAUGGUGAAACUGGUAGACACCCGGGACUUAAAAUCCCGUGCCAGCAAUGGCGUGCGAGUUCGAUCCUCGCUCCGGGCACCA